AUGACUUGGGGGCAGAAGGACGGCGGCGAUUCGUCGGCGUCGCCCGGCUCCUCGCCGUGCCAUGACGACGAGCGGCACAAGGUCCCCAGAGGGCACGUCCCCAUGGUCACCGGUUGCGGCAAGCGCGUGGUGGUGCCGGUGAGGCUGCUCCGGGACCCAUGCGUCGCGGAGCUGCUUGACAUGGCGGCGCAGCAGUACGGCUACGGCCAGCCGGGCGUGUUGCGGAUCCCAUGCGAUGCCGGACACUUCCGCAGGGUCGUCGACGGCGCGCUGCACAGAGCCGACUAG
rnacentral:rRNA from 1 species